rnacentral:rRNA from 1 species
AUGAACGCUGGCGGCGUGCCUAAUACAUGCAAGUCGAGCGAACAGACGAGGAGCUUGCUCCUCUGACGUUAGCGGCGGACGGGUGAGUAACGCGUGGAUAACCUACCUAUAAGACUGGGAUAACUUCGGGAAACCGGAGCUAAUACCGGAUAAUAUAUUGAACCGCAUGGUUCAAUAGUGAAAGACGGUUUUGCUGUCACUUAUAGAUGGAUCCGCGCCGCAUUAGCUAGUUGGUAAGGUAACGGCUUACCAAGGCAACGAUGCGUAGCCGACCUGAGAGGGUGAUCGGCCACACUGGAACUGAGACACGGUCCAGACUCCUACGGGAGGCAGCAGUAGGGAAUCUUCCGCAAUGGGCGAAAGCCUGACGGAGCAACGCCGCGUGAGUGAUGAAGGUCUUCGGAUCGUAAAACUCUGUUAUUAGGGAAGAACAAAUGUGUAAGUAACUAUGCACGUCUUGACGGUACCUAAUCAGAAAGCCACGGCUAACUACGUG